AUUUUUCAAUUCCCUCUUCUCUCUCUUCUCUCUCUUCUCAACUGUUCAUCUUCUUCAAUUUCUUCUUUCAAUCGAAGGAUGUAAAAAGUUAACAUGGUAUUAAAGCGGGUAUAUUCCGAUUCUCCUCGUCAUCAGCGUUCGAUCGAUGUUACCCUCACCAAAUUCCAUCCAUGUUCCUACUAUUUUUCAGAAUCUAGGGUUUCUUAUCCGGUUAGUUUUCCGCUGAACUCAUCCGUUUUGAGCUUGUUCUUUACUCCGUCAACAUUAUAAGUUGUAUGUUUGUGGAGUAUUGUUGUUUGAAUUCGUCAGUUUAGAUAUUCACGGUCUGUUAAUUUUUUUUUGGUUUUUGUCGAGUUUCAACAUCAUUAGCACUUAAAAUGGUUGACAUCGAUGGUGGUUCUUCUUCUGCUUCUACUAAUUUUGUUCCUGAUCCUUCAAACCCUUUGUUUCUUAUGUCAUCCGAUGUACCCGGAGUUUCUUUGGUCACCAAUCCGUUUUCAGGGAUUGGUUUUGGGGGAUGAAGGAGAAACAUAAUCGUUU
rnacentral:lncRNA from 1 species